AUGAGGAACCAGCUGAAAAUAAUGAUGAUCCUUUGUACUGUACACAACAUGCUACUGGAAAUGCAGAAUUUGUGGCGGAAUCACCUAAUUCCCCUAUCAUCCAAAGAGUGGAUGGUGCUACUACAGAAGCAAUGGAGACAGAUGGGCAAUCAAGUCAUGGGGGGCGUGCUCCGGGCAGUACACAAGUACCUACAGCUGUAG
rnacentral:rRNA from 1 species